rnacentral:rRNA from 1 species
UACGGGGGGGGUAAGGCGUUGUUCGGCGAAUUACUGGGCGUAAAAGGCUCGUAGGCGGCCAACUAAGUCAGACGUGAAAUCCCUCAGCUUAACUGGGGAACUGCGUCUGAAUACUGGAUGGCUUGGAAUUCGGGAGAGGAAUGCGGAAUUCCAGGUGUAGCGGUAGAAAUGCGUAGAUAUCGGAGGAACACCGGUGGCGAAGGCGGCAUUCUGGACCGAUAUUGACGCUGAGGAGCGAAAGCCAGGGGAGCAAAGCGGGG